CGACCUCAAAUCAGGAGGACUACCCGCUGAACUU
rnacentral:rRNA from 1 species